rnacentral:rRNA from 1 species
GUGAACGCUGGCGGUAGGCCUAACACAUGCAAGUCGUACGGCAGCACAGUAAGAGCUUGCUCUUACGGGUGGCGAGUGGCGGACGGGUGAGGAAUACAUCGGAAUCUACUUUUUCGUGGGGGAUAACGUAGGGAAACUUACGCUAAUACCGCAUACGACCUACGGGUGAAAGCAGGGGAUCUUCGGACCUUGCGCGAUUGAAUGAGCCGAUGUCGGAUUAGCUAGUUGGCGGGGUAAAGGCCCACCAAGGCGACGAUCCGUAGCUGGUCGGAGAGGAUGACGCCCCACAUGGGAACUGAGACACGGCCCACACCCCUCGGGGAGGAAGCGGGGGGGAAUAUUGGACAAGGGGCGCAGGCCUAAUCCAGCAAUCCCGGGGGGGGGAAGAGGGCUUUCGGUUUGUAAAGCCUUUUUGUUGGGAAAGAAAAGCAGCGGGUUAAUCCCCGGUUUUUCUGACGGCCCCCAAAGAAUAAGCCCCGGCUACCUUCGUG